AUGGGCACUAUUACUGCUGCUGGAUUCCACGUUUUAUUUCUCAUUCCCAUAAUUGCAUUGCACGCCCAUGCAUCAUCUCAGGAGGCCCAUCUCACAGAAUUCCUCUUAUCUAGAAAAUCCAGAAGUAGCAGCGGCAGCACAAUUAGUGAUUCUAUUUUCCAUGGCGGAUCUGUUCCCGUAAUCACCAACAGCCUCCGAACAGAUGAGUACCCCAACUCCGACCGCGCUCUAAAGGCGGCCGACAAGAUCCCGGUGCUGCCGGGGCAGCCGGAGGGUGUCGACUUCGACCAGUACGCCGGGUAUGUCACCGUCGACGGCCACAACGGCCGUGCGCUCUUCUACUACUUCGUGGAAGCGCCUGGCGACAAGGCGGCGAAGCCACUCCUCCUCUGGCUCAACGGAGGCCCUGGAUGCUCGUCGCUGGGCUUGGGAGCGAUGCGAGAAUUGGGUCCUUUCCGUGUGAACAGAGACAACCAAACCCUCACUAGGAACAAGCAUGCCUGGAACAACGAGGCAAACGUCAUCUUCCUGGAAUCACCCGCCGGCGUGGGAUUCUCCUACUCCAACACCUCUUCCGAUUACGACAGGAUGGGGGAUCCAUUGACAGCCCAAGACACCUACGCCUUCCUCGUCAACUGGCUCGACAGGUACCCCGAGUACAAGGCGCGCGGCCUCUACAACGCCGGUGAGAGCUACGCCGGCCACUACGUGCCCCAGCUCGCCGCCGCCAUCUUAGCCCACAACAACAACAACAACACGGGCGUCAUGCUAAAUCUCAAGGGCAUCUUGGUCGGCAACCCGUUGUUGGACGUCGUGAAGAACAAGAGAGGGCGCUACGAGUACCUGUGGAACCACGGGGUGAUCUCCGACGAGGUCUGGGCCGAUAUCUCCAGCCACUGCAGCUUCAACGGCUCCUCCUAUGGUGGUAUGUGCGAUGAAGCUAUUAGUAAAUCCAACUAUACGCAUAGGGACCUCGACAUGUACAACAUAUACGCUCCCACCUGCAUCACCAGCGACAACGGCUCCUACUAUUCUAGCAGCCAAUUACCUGGGUACGAUCCGUGCGGUGAAGUGGCUACCUUUGCCUACCUGAAUCGUCCCGCGGUGCAGAGGGCUCUGCACGCCAGAGAAACGAAAUGGCGUGGCUGCAAUAGAAUCUUUAUAGGUUUCAAGGACUCGCCAGAUAGCAUGGUACCAACCUUGAAAUGGCUAAUCGACCACGGCUUGCCCAUAUGGCUGUUCAGCGGGGAUUUUGACUCUAUUUGCCCCUUCACCGGCACGAGGUACACGGUCCGGGAUCUCAAACUGUCCAUCACCGAGCCCAAAAGCCGCAAGGCCUAUUGUUUGUUGUUGGUGCCAUUGAGGUCGACCCAAGGUGUCGGGGAGAGCCAAGAUUUGGAAGCACCACGGCAAGACGAGCUGGGCGUGCAGCUCGCGCUUUGUUUGACUGUUGGCUGGAUGCUCACCCAGGUUCCAGAUGAUGUGAUUGCUGCAUGUUGA
rnacentral:rRNA from 1 species